rnacentral:rRNA from 1 species
CGAUGAUCUCCAGCUUGCUGGGGUGAUUAGUGGCGAACGGGUGAGUAACACGUGAGUAACCUGCCCUUAACUCUGGGAUAAGCCUGGGAAACUGGGUCUAAUACCGGAUAUGACUUCUCAUCGCAUGGUGGGGGGUGGAAAGCUUUUUGUGGUUUUGGAUGGACUCGCGGCCUAUCAGCUUGUUGGUGAGGUAAUGGCUUACCAAGGCGACGACGGGUAGCCGGCCUGAGAGGGUGACCGGCCACACUGGGACUGAGACACGGCCCAGACUCCUACGGGAGGCAGCAGUGGGGAAUAUUGCACAAUGGGCGCAAGCCUGAUGCAGCGACGCCGCGUGAGGGAUGACGGCCUUCGGGUUGUAAACCUCUUUCAGUAGGGAAGAAGCGAAAGUGACGGUACCUGCAGAAGAAGCGCCGGCUAACUACGUGCCAGCAGCCGCGGUAAUACGUAGGGCGCAAGCGUUAUCCGGAAUUAUUGGGCGUAAAGAGCUCGUAGGCGGUUUGUCGCGUCUGCCGUGAAAGUCCGGGGCUCAACUCCGGAUCUGCGGUGGGUACGGGCAGACUAGAGUGAUGUAGGGGAGACUGGAAUUCCUGGUGUAGCGGUGAAAUGCGCAGAUAUCAGGAGGAACACCGAUGGCGAAGGCAGGUCUCUGGGCAUUAACUGACGCUGAGGAGCGAAAGCAUGGGGAGCGAACAGGAUUAGAUACCCUGGUAGUCCAUGCCGUAAACGUUGGGCACUAGGUGUGGGGGACAUUCCACGUUUUCCGCGCCG